rnacentral:lncRNA from 1 species
ACGGCGAUUUUAUCGAAAUGUGAAACUGUUUUUGUGUUAUGUUGCAGAUGUGUUACAGCACUUUUGUUGUGGUGAGGACACUGUUGCAGUAUGGAGCUUUCGGCGUCCUGUCAUGGACCACAGCUUUCAAGUAUGCCACUUGACAGGUAUGAACCUGACUGUUGGUGGUUGAUAUACUUGACGAUUUCUCUCUGGAAUGUCUGGAGAUUGACUUGGCAUAACUCACCCUGAUUCGGCUGAUUUUCUGAGUUGUAUCUCCGGUCAUUUGUAACUCAGCUUUCAAGCACGAAACUUGUAAGGUUGGAUUUUUCCGAAUAAACUGGCCAUCGAAGCCCAACAACAGUGCUGUGAGCGACUCGACAAACUUCUGCUUCUCCUGAUUCGUCUUCUUCUUCUUCUUCUUCUUCUUCAUCUGCACUUCUCUCCUGCUACAUCUCUUCUUCAUCCUGUUCUUCUUCUUCGCUGAUCAUCCAUAUAGCUGAAAGCUGACGAUUUGAUAAUGUUACACAAAACUGUGAGUUAGCUGAUUUACACCCGUUUGCACAAAAGUCUGUUAACUUUUAAUCCCGAUUAAAUGCCACGAGAGCCAAUCUGAGGAGCCUUCUUCACAGAAAAACCAUCUCUGUUCGGUUCUUGGAAUUUAAUCAUGAUUAGAAUUUAACAGCCUUAUGUGCAACUGGGCCUUACAGUGUAGAACUAUGUAUAUCCUUGUCUAGUAGCUGAUGUAGUAUGACAGUAGUUUUGUUGAUAGAUUUUUAAAUUCUAAACUUUGCUUCUAUAGUGAAAUUCACGUAAUAUAAAGUCAGUGGUGGAAAUGAUUGGUAGAAUGGCCAAUUGUCUAUUGCCACCUUGUUUAGUGGAUAGAUGUGAUCAAAACUGUAGUUGCGUAUCACGAUCUUGCAAUGCAACUGCAGUUGUGUAUCACCAUUCUUCAACUCCACUAAAAUAAUAUAAUUAUUAUUCAACUCCACUGCAUUGUGUAUCAAAUCCAUGUAACGGAAACUGUAGUUGCGUAUCACGAUCUUGCUACGCUAAAAACCUUCAGCCUUAUCAAGGAACUACAACGUUCUAACAAUUAUGUGAUAGAAUUGCAUCACCAAUAUUAAUUAUUUAUAAGUAAUCACGCAUUUUUUAUUCUAAUUUAUAGUUUAUUGUAUGAAUAUUAAUCGCUAUUUGUGACUAGAGUACCUAGUUUGUAUAUUUGUUGUAAAAAUGGCAUGUUUAUGAUUAACAUGUUUGUUAUAAAUAAUACGUUUGUAUAUAAGCUGGAGACUGUGGAACGAUUAUAAAAUAAAUUAAAUAAUCAUGAAAUAUAAAUUAUAAAAUUGACAAAAAUAAGCCUCGGACUGUAAAUAGUCCAACAGUGCCUUUUUAAUUCAGUAGGAAAAUAUAUACUGAGUUUGAAAUAUCAUUAGCUACUGGAAGCUAUUUCUUAUCUACUGAUUGAUAUCAGUACAACAAAACCUGUAUAAUAUCAACCUCAUUUUCAAAAAUUUUAAUAAAAACAUAAAUUUUAUCAGACAAUUUUAUUCCAAAGUCAAAUUUAUAUAGAUUCUUUGAGAUUAGGAGGGAAGUGUUCAGAGAAUACUUUAGAACUGGUCAAUGAAAAUAAUAAUUUGAAUUUUUUAUUGAGGUUCACUUUAAACUGUCAUGCUUCUCAUUUAAACAAUUCAGACAGUUUGAAGUGUUUUGCUCCAUAAUUUAUUAUUGUACUAUAAUUAAAGCAAUAAUUAUUUUACUCUUAUUGCAAAUUUAUAAAAAAAUUGUGCGAUUUAGAACGAUCAUUUUUCUGAUUUUUGAAAAGACAUUCAUAUUUUACUCGUAUUGCAAAUGUAUACAAAUUUUGUGCGAUUUAGAACGAUUAUUUUUCUCUAAUAAUCUGAUUUUCGAUAUUUAGUGAAUUAAGAUUUAUUAAAAUUUGAACUAGUUUUGGAACGUAAGCUAUUGCUUUUUAUAAACUAACUUCAAUUCUAUAUUUUAAUUAACUCUUUAAAUUUCACAACGUAAAUCCUGAAAGUUCUCUCUCUCUCUCUCU